AACCUAGCACACCUGCGGUGUGUACCUGCGGAGGGAUCAUUACUGAGUGAGGGCCUUCGGGCUCGACCUCCAACCCUUUGUGAACACAACUUGUUGCUUCGGGGGCGACCCUGCCGUUUCGACGGCGAGCGCCCCCGGAGGCCUUCAAACACUGCAUCUUUGCGUCGGAGUUUAAGUAAAUUAAACAAAACUUUCAGCAACGGAUCU
rnacentral:misc_RNA from 1 species